GGGUCGAUGAAGAACGCAGCCAGCUGCGUGAAGUAAUGUGAAUUGCAGGACACAUUGAACAUCGAUAUCUUGAACGCAUAUUGCGGCCUCGGGUAUUCCCGAGGCCACGCCUGUCUCAGGGUCGGUUGAACGUAUCUAUCGCGAGUUGUCUCCUGCUCGCGCAGUGGAUCGUCGCGGCGCGCCUGUCUCUGGCGAGUCACGUCGUCCGAAAUUCAGACGGUUCGCACAACGCGAAACCGCACGUCUCGAUUCCUACGAACUCUGUAAACGCGGGACGGUUGCUCGGAUGCUCUAUGAUCUUUGUACCGUCGUCGUCGUAUUUAUCGGAGCGAGUUGGAUGUGUGCGGGAGUAGUAGUGCGAACGAAUCUUACGUGUUUCGAGAGAGAUGGAGAGCGAGAGAGAGAGAUAGAGAGUGACUGCACCUGUCGUCGUGUGCGGUUCUUCUCUUCUUUCUCUCUUUUUUCUCUUCUCUUUUUUUUCUUCGACCUGAGAUCAGACGAGAUUACCCGCUGAAUUUAAGCAUAU
rnacentral:misc_RNA from 1 species